rnacentral:rRNA from 1 species
CAGUAGCCGCGGUAAUACGGAGGGCGCGAGCGUUACCCGGAUUUACUGGGCGUAAAGGGCGUGUAGGCGGCCUGGGGCGUCCCAUGUGAAAGGCCACGGCUCAACCGUGGAGGAGCGUGGGAUACGCUCAGGCUAGAGGGUGGGAGAGGGUGGUGGAAUUCCCGGAGUAGCGGUGAAAUGCGCAGAUACCGGGAGGAACGCCGAUGGCGAAGGCAGCCACCUGGUCCACUUCUGACGCUGAGGCGCGAAAGCGUGGGGAGCAAACCGGAUUAGAUACCCGCGUAGUCCCUGUCUCUUAUAC